UCAGGACGAACGCUGGCGGCGUGCUUAACACAUGCAAGUCGAACGCUGAAGCCUGGUGCUUGCACCGGGUGGAUGAGUGGCGAACGGGUGAGUAAUACGUGAGUGACCUGCCUUUGACUCUGGGAUAAGCCUGGGAAACUGGGUCUAAUACCGGAUGCGACUACUGCCCGCAUGGGCUGGUGGUGGAAAGGGUUAUGUACUGGUCUUAGAUGGGCUCACGGCCUAUCAGCUGGUUGGUGGGGUAAUGGCCUACCAAGGCGACGACGGGUAGCCGGCCUGAGAGGGUGACCGGCCACACUGGGACUGAGACACGGCCCAGACUCCUACGGGAGGCAGCAGUGGGGAAUAUUGCACAAUGGGCGCAAGCCUGAUGCAGCGACGCCGCGUGAGGGAUGACGGCCUUCGGGUUGUAAACCUCUUUCAGCAGGGAAGAAGCGGAAGUGACGGUACCUGCAGAAGAAGCGCCGGCUAACUACGUGCCAGCAGCCGCGGUAAUACGUAGGGCGCAAGCGUUGUCCGGAAUUAUUGGGCGUAAAGAGCUCGUAGGCGGCUUGUCGCGUCUGCUGUGAAAGCCCGGGGCUUAACUCCGGGUGUGCAGUGGGUACGGGCAGGCUAGAGUGCAGUAGGGGUAACUGGAAUUCCUGGUGUAGCGGUGAAAUGCGCAGAUAUCAGGAGGAACACCGAUGGCGAAGGCAGGUUA
rnacentral:rRNA from 1 species